UACGGAGGAUCCGAGCGUUAUCCGGAUUUAUUGGGUUUAAAGGGAGCGUAGGUGGAUUGUUAAGUCAGUUGUGAAAGUUUGCGGCUCAACCGUAAAAUUGCAGUUGAAACUGGCAGUCUUGAGUACAGUAGAGGUGGGCGGAAUUCGUGGUGUAGCGGUGAAGUGCUUAGAUAUCACGAAGAACUCCGAUUGCGAAGGCAGCUCACUGGACUGCAACUGACGCUGAGGCUCGAAAGUGUGGGUAUCAAACAGG
rnacentral:rRNA from 1 species